GGUCCUUAAAGAAUAGGUGCGUUCCAAGGUCAGAGGUCAUCAGGGGAGGGCAUGCUCAGCAGAGGGAGAGGCACAAGCAAGACACAGAGACUGGAAAGUGCAGUGCAUGUUCAGAAAACAGUGUGGCAUCCAGUAGAAUGGAGUGAAGAGUUGGUGUAGUCUGGGAAAUAAUGGCAGAGAUAGCAAGAAAGGAAGCCUGAGGGAACAGUCAUAGAAAUUAUACCAUUUAUGUCAGACUGAAAAUGUAAGAUCUGAUGCAGCAUAUAAAUGUAGAGGUAGUUUAGUAAGGUUAAUUGUGGGAAGAGGAACAGUAUGGGAUGAAUUUCAGUAAGGAGCUUGAUGCAGAUGAGCAGGUAACCAUGGAAGUCGUGAGCUGAGGCUGCAGAGUCUAGAGCCAGAGUGUGGAAUAAACUUGGGUCUCAAAUCACCCCUGGAGCAAAGCCCCCAUCUAAUCAGGAACUUCUACUUUCAACUUUACAUGCGUGAGAAAUGAACUUCUAUCAUGUUAGAACUUUGAUGUCUUCAAAGCAAGGCGAGUGAGUGGCACUCUUCGGACAAGAAGGAAGAUGGCAGGUGAAAUCAUCUUCUUCUAAUGAGCCCUGUGCUAUGCUUGCUGAUGUCCUUGGUCACGGAGAUUUUCAGAAGAGCCAUGGCCUUACCAGUGAAGGUUACACAGAGGCCACUGGAGUCAAGUAAUUCAUUGCACCUUAUUACAUUUAGGCACUUCUUUAUCCAUCAUGCAGGCUAUUGGGAUUAAAAUGGGUCCUUUCAACAAUGAGUCAAUAUUGAAGAUUCUGUGGAUCCAUUUAUGGACACAUAUUGGGUAUUCUCUGGACACAUGCCUUAACUUCACAACUGUUUCUUGGACAUUGUGCUAGGUGCUAAGGAAAUGCAAAUGGAAGGUAUAAUUCUUGUCUUCUGGGUGUUCACUGUUGGGUCUGAUGCCAUACAACUAUUGUGAACACACGAGGGAAGUGUAAGCUGUGUGUGGUUCUUGCCCUCAGCCUGAGGAGCACAGUCCCUGAGGUGGAAGGGUCUCCAGAUGACAGCAGUGUCCAUGCCUUAUUUACUCUUGAUUUCCAGCACCUGCCUCCUGCCCAGCACAGUUGGGCCCCAAACCUGAUCACUGACGGGGUUGCUCUGGACCAGCCCAUCACUCAAUGCAGAGCUUCCUUCCAGUGUUUGGUGUCUGCUUGAGGUUGUGGAGAUAUGAGGGCCUCUCUCCCACUCCUGCCGCCCAUUCCAUUGUUGCUUCACACUGAUUACUAAGAGAUUUCCCUGCCUGCCUUGUAACCUGACCAACAAACCCAGAUUCUGCCCUCAGGAGUUACCUGAACUAAAACACUAUACAGACUAAAUCCCUGGUCUCUAUAUUAUGCUUCAGGUAUUUAGAGACAUCUGUGCUGUAUCUUGUUUUCCUUCUCUGGCCUCCAGUAUCCCUAUUCCUUUACAUACUUCUCUGGUGAAUUAGUUUUGAGACUACAUCAUCAUCCUAUUGACCAGGCAAGACUAGCACCAAUGAUUAAAUAAUAGGAUGAAUCAUCCUGU